AAAACAUUUUUUUCCCUAGUAAAGGCGAUUGAACAGGAACACAGAAACAAUAAAAUAAGUACCGCGAGGGAAUGUUGAAAUAGAGAUGAAAAAGACCAGUUAAGCAAAACAAAGCAGAGACUAAACCUCGUACCUUUUGCAUCAUGAUUUAACAAACAAAACCCGGCAAGAAGAACCUCAGUCUGGGCCCCCGAAACUAAGUGAGCUACUCCAAGACAGCAUAAUUAAUAGUGCUAACCCGUCUCUGUUGCAAAAGAUGUGGGGAGAGCUUUGAGUAGUGGUGAAAAGCCUAUCGAACUUAGUAAUAGCUGGUUUUCUGAGAAAUGAAUAUAAGUUCAGCCUCUAAAUUUCUCUAUUCACCCACACAUUAAUCUAAUUAAAGUUACUAGGAUAAAAAGAAAUUUAAAGAGUUAGUCAGAGGGGGAACAGCUCCUCUGAUCUGAGCAACAACUCCUUAUUAGUCAGGUAAAGAUCAAAACAACUAAGGUUAAUUAUUAACGUGGGCCUAAAAGCAGCCACCUAAAUAAAUAGCGUUAAAGCUCAAAUAAAUAACCACCUGUAAUUACGAAAAAAAAUUCUUAACCUACUAUCAAUCUUAUCAGAAUAUCUUAUAUUACUAUAAGAGAAACCAUGUUAAUAUUAGUAAUAAGAGGUAAGAACCUCUCCAAGCAUAAGUGUAACUCGAAAUGGACUCACCAUUGACAAUUAACGGCCCCAAUAAACACAGAGGGUAUAGAAAAUAAAUUCUAAACCAGAAAAUCUUACUAAACUCACCGUUACCCCUACACUGGAACGCAUUUAAGGAAAGAUUAAAAGGAAAAGAAGGAACUCGGCAAACUCUAGCCUCGCCUGUUUACCAAAAACAUCGCCUCUUGCUAUCCCAUAUAAGAGGUCUGGCCUGCCCAAUGAUAUUAAUUCAAUGGCCGCGGUAUUUUAACCGUGCAAAGGUAGCGUAAUCACUUGCCCUUUAAAUGAGGACCCGUAUGAACGGCUAAACGAGGGCUUAACUGUCUCCUUUUCCUAAUCAAUGAAAUUGAUCUCCCCGUGCAAAAGCGGGGAUGAUAAUAUAAGACGAGAAGACCCUGUGGAGCUUCAAGAUACCCUAUAGACCCGCUAAAAAUUUUCUAAUAAAGAACUAAAGCUAAAAGUAACUAGUAGAUAUCUUCAGUUGGGGCGACUGCGGAACACACAAAACUCCCGCGAAGACUAAGAACAUAUAAUUAUUCUUAAAACUUAGAACCACCAUUCAAGACAAUAGAAUCUCUAACUUUUUUUGAUCCAACCCGUUGAUCAACGAACCAAGUUACCCCAGGGAUAACAGCGCAAU
rnacentral:rRNA from 1 species